GGGUUGAAUGGGGCGUAAGCCUGACGCAGCAACGCCGCGUGAGGGACGAAGGCUUUCUGAGUUGUAAACCUCUUUCGACAGGAACGAUUGUGACGGUACCUGUAGAAGAAGCACCGGCUAACUACGUGCCAGCAGCCGCGGUAAGACGUAGGGGGCAAGCGUUAUUCGGAUUUAUUGGGCGUAAAGAGCUCGUAGGCGGUUCAACAAGUCGGGUGUUAAACCCCCAGGCUCAACCUGGGGCCGCCACCCGAAACUGUUGUGACUAGAGUUUGGUAGGGGAUCACGGAAUUCCUGGUGUAGCGGUGGAAUGCGCAGAUAUCAGGAGGAACACCAGUAGCGAAGGCGGUGAUCUGGGCCAAUACUGACGCUGAGGAGCGAAAGCGUGGGGAGCGAACAGGAUUAGAUACCCUGGUAGUCCACGCCGUAAACGGUGGGCACUAGGUGUGGGGACUUUUCAACGGUUUCCGCGCCGCAGCUAACGCAUUAAGUGCCCCGCCUGGGGAGUACGGUCGCAA
rnacentral:rRNA from 1 species